rnacentral:rRNA from 1 species
AUACGUAGGGGGCGAGCGUUGUCCGGAAUGAUUGGGCGUAAAGGGCGCGUAGGCGGCUUUGCAAGUCAGUAGUGGAAGUCCAUUUUUCAAGGAUGGAAGUGCUACAGAAACUGCGGAGCUUGAGUGCAGGAGAGGUUAUCGGAAUUCCCGGUGUAGCGGUGAAAUGCGUAGAGAUCGGGAGGAACACCAGUGGCGAAGGCGGGUAACUGGACUGCAACUGACGCUGAGGCGCGAAAGUGUGGGGAGCAAACAGGAUUAGAUACCCUGGUAGUCCACACUGUAAACGAUGAAUGCUAGGUGUAGGAGGUAUCGACCCCUUCUGUGCCGCAGUAAACACAGUAAGCAUUCCGCCUGGGGAGUACGGUCGCAAGAUUAAAACUUAAAUGAAUUGACGGGG